rnacentral:rRNA from 1 species
AGUGAACGCUGGCGGCAGGCCUAACACAUGCAAGUCGAGCGGCAGCGCGGGGGCAACCCUGGCGGCGAGCGGCGGUCGGGUGAGGAAUGCAUCGGAAUCUACCUCGUUGUGGGGGAUAACGUAGGGAAACUUACGCUAAUACCGCAUACGACCUACGGGUGAAAGUGGGGGACCUUCGGGCCUCACGCGAUGAGAUGAGCCGAUGCCGGAUUAGCUAGUUGGCGGGGUAAAGGCCCACCAAGGCGACGAUCCGUAGCUGGUCUGAGAGGAUGAUCAGCCACACUGGAACUGAGACACGGUCCAGACUCCUACGGGAGGCAGCAGUGGGGAAUAUUGGACAAUGGGCGCAAGCCUGAUCCAGCCAUGCCGCGUGUGUGAAGAAGGCCUCGGUUG